rnacentral:misc_RNA from 1 species
UCCGGUUCUUCACCAGCAGUCUCCUUAGAGUCCCCACCAUUACGUGCUGGUAACUAAGGAUAAGGGUUGCGCUCGUUACGGGACUUAACCCAACAUCUCACAACACGAGCUGACGACAGCCAUGCAGCACCUGUCUCUGCGUUCCUUGCGGCACUCUCACAUCUCUGUAAGAUUCGCAGGAUGUCAAGGGUAGGUAAGGUUCUUCGCGUUGCAUCGAAUUAAACCACAUGCUCCACCGCUUGUGCGGGCCCCCGUCAAUUCCUUUGAGUUUUAACCUUGCGGCCGUACUUCCCAGGCGGAGGACUUAUCGCGUUAGCUUCGAUACUCUUUCGCUCGCGCAAAACAACAUCUAGUCCUCAUCGUUUACAGCAUGGACUAC